AAUAGCGUAUAUUAAAGUUGUUGCAGUUAAAAAGCUCGUAGUUGGAUUUCUGGUGGGAGCGAUCGGUCUGGCGCUUAGCGCGAGUACUUGCAUCGUCUCCGGCCAUCCUUGGGGAAAGUCUGUCUGGCAUUAAGUUGUCGGGCAGAGGAUCCUCAUCGUUUACUGUGAAAAAAUUAGAGUGUUCAAAGCAGGCUUAUGCCGUUGAAUAUAUUAGCAUGGAAUAAUAAGAUAGGACUUUGGUACUAUUUUGUUGGUUUGCGCACCAAAGUAAUGAUUAAUAGGGACAGUUGGGGGUAUUCGUAUUCCGUUGUCAGAGGUGAAAUUCUUGGAUUUACGGAAGACGAACUACUGCGAAAGCAUUUACCAAGGAUGUUUUCAUUAA
rnacentral:rRNA from 1 species